rnacentral:lncRNA from 1 species
GGUCAAAACAUAUUUUUUUUCUUUAUAAAAUCCUUUCCUAUUUCUUUUUUCUUUUGCAUAGAUGCCUCCUGAAUGGUACAAUUUCCAUGGAACAGCUGAUCUAAACAUUGCCUGGAUAAAGUUGAGAACACUUGCAGUUGGCUAUACACCUACUGGGGAUGAUGUUGCCAAAAUGAUAGUUUGCCUCUGAGAACAUCUAGGGCCUCUGAAAUUGACCUAGAACGUGUGCACUGUGCGUUUGUGCCAGCUUAAGAAACAAUGACCUACCAAAAGGCAGCUAUAACAGGACAAAUUCAUGUGAAGAAAGGGAUGAUUUCAGUUUGUAUCUCUAAACCUGGUGUCAGCUUUGGAUGUGUUUAUAUAGCCAAACUAUGCUGUAGAAAGAUGGAAAGAUCCUGUACGCACACCUCAGCUGAUGGGCUCUUAGACGUGAUUCUUAUAAAGAAAAAUUGCUAAAUUCCUCGCAGGCAUCCGAUGCAAGUGCUUUGCGAAUAUUUUAUUGGAGGCUUGGCUAUGCUGCAGCUUAAAGCAAAACUUUGCCGACUGCAGGAAAAAGAUACAAAAGACCCUUUCUGCUGCUUUGUACAAAGAAAAAGAGGCUGCUGGAUUUAAUCGUUACUCAUAAUCCUCUCAAACCAGUGGAGCUCGAACACAGCUGUGAGAGAAAAUGGCAGAGACCUUGCCUUGGUGAAGGAUUAUAGUCAUCACAGUCUAGUGGAUGAACCCCUGGAUCCAGCCCCUUCCCUUUGCAUCCCUGCUGCCCUUGGCGGGUAGGGACCACGUACCAUGGCAGACAAAGCUGCAGCAGGUACCAGGUAGGGGUCCAUAUUAGUGCUACUUAGCACUAAAUGGGGAUGCUUGCUCUGCUCCACAGUGGA